rnacentral:rRNA from 1 species
CAGUGGGGAAUUUUGGACAAUGGGCGCAAGCCUGAUCCAGCAAUGCCGCGUGUGUGAAGAAGGCCUUCGGGUUGUAAAGCACUUUUGUCCGGAAAGAAAUCCUGUGGGCUAAUACCCUGCGGGGAUGACGGUACCGGAAGAAUAAGCACCGGCUAACUACGUGCCAGCAGCCGCGGUAAUACGUAGGGUGCGAGCGUUAAUCGGAAUUACUGGGCGUAAAGCGUGCGCAGGCGGUGAUGUAAGACCGAUGUGAAAUCCCCGGGCUCAACCUGGGAACUGCAUUGGUGACUGCAUUGCUCGAGUAUGGCAGAGGGGGGUGGAAUUCCACGUGUAGCAGUGAAAUGCGUAGAGAUGUGGAGGAACACCGAUGGCGAAGGCAGCCCCCUGGGCCAAUACUGACGCUCAUGCACGAAAGCGUGGGGAGCAAACAGGAUUAGA